UAUCGGCGGUCAGACCGGCAGAAGGCGGCGGUCAGACCGGCAGGCAGUUGGCGGUCAUACCGGCGGCGGCAUCAGGGAGCAGAGGCGAUCUCGGAGCGGUCGGACCGGGCAACCUUCAUCGGUCAGACCGGCGACACAAGCUCGGUCAGACCGACAGGAUUACUCCGGUUAGAUUGAUCCAUCAAUUUCGAGGGUAACUUUUAUUUCCGCUAAAAUUUUUCGGUUUUUGAGUAUGUCAACCAUUCACCCCCUCUCUGGUUAGCUUAGUUCUUUCAUUCGAUCCUACAAUAAAACCCUCAUCUCCACCCCUCCUCUCUCUCUCUUCCUCUCUCUCCACCCUCAGCCGCCGCACUCCCAUCAAUUCUCCUCUCCUCUCCGGCGGUGGGUAUCGGCGAUGACAGCAUGCGGCGGCGUCUUCCUCCUCCAUCGCCGCUCGCGGUGCCAGCUUACUCCCCCCUCACCGCUUACCGCGCCGCCUCCGUCUCCGCCAGGCUCGGGAGCAGUGGAUCUGCCGCCGACAGCGCUCCCGGGCCUAGGGCGGCUAGAUCGCGCGGCGGCAGUCCCCGGGCAGCUCGAGGACGGCAUGCGGCUGCAUCGACGGGCCCAACCGCUAGCCGAUUCCAAACCGCGUCGGCCUCGGCAUCCUCGGUGGCGGCGACGGCGGCGCCGGGCCCGACCAGCGCCUGUCCUCAUCCUCUUCCCGCACCAUUGCUCAACUCUCUCUCUAUCCCUCUCUCUGCAGCUCCACCUUCUCUCUCUAGCCCAGCUCAACUCUCUCUCUCUCUCUUUCUCUGCAGCUCCACCUUCUCCUAGGCAGCCAUUCCCAAGGCUACCACCACCACCAGCACGCAGAAGCUCGCCGAAGCUCGCUGCCACGCCGGAUCUGGGACUGGGAGGAUGGGGGGUGGGUGGGUGUGGCCAGGGGCGGAGGGCUCGGUAGGGCGAGGUGUGGCGCUCGCCAUACCUCGCGCCGCCCGCUGACCAACCCCCCCCCCCCCCUCUUCCUCGUGCUCCUCCGCGCAUAGAAGCAGCCGGGUCAGACAGAGUGCCGACGCUGCAUCGUGAGAAGACGGGCGACGGCUGAGACGCGGCGUGGACGCUUCUGCAAAUGCCAGUGCUGGUCCUCACGCUGAUAGCUAGUAGGCCCAUUAGGCUUGUUUAGUGUAAAUGUGACCCAACUUUCCCCAUCUGAGUCAUCUGACCAUCUCCUCCAACCUCCGCCAAUCCCCAUCGGCAGACGGCGGCUGCUGUGGUGCGUGCCGCGUGCGGGAGGGCAGGGUGAGGUGAGGAUGGCGCGGCCACCAGGCUUCCAGAGCUGCGGCUGUGGCAUCCGCUCCGGCAAGGCGGCGGCGCGACCAGCCGCCAUGGCCCAAAGGGGCAGGCGCGCAGCGCAGGAAGAGCAGAGGCAGAGGCAGAGGCAGGGUGGGAUGAAUGGCACAACAGCAGUGCAGGCGUGCAGCACCAAGCGGCGACAGCAAGCAAGCGGCAAGCCAACAAGCCAAGCAUCCAUCACUCCAUCAACAAGUUCUACAUAUGUGAACAUUAAUCAAUCUUUGGUACUAUACGUAUGAACAUAAGUUGCUGCGCAUACAAUACAGGUGAGGAUUCUACCAUUAAAUGCACAAUGACACAAUUUGAGGAUCAGUUUAGCACUAUAAAACCUGAUGGGAUUCAAGUCAGAUGCCAUAAGCAAUUUUGCAUCAUCAGAUGCUCAACAGUACCCGUGCCCCCGCGCGCCGUCGUCGCCGCCGCCGUCGUCGCCGCCGCCGCCGUCGAGACCGAGGGAGCCGCGGAUCCAGGUGAAGGCCAAGACCCGCAAGACCUCGAGCAAG